GUAGGGAAUAUUGCACAAUGGAGGAAACUCUGAUGCAGCGACGCCGCGUGAGUGAUGAAGGACUUCGGUUCGUAAAGCUCUGUCGCACGGGAAUAAGAAAGUGAAUGUACCGUGCAAGAAAGGAUCGGCUAACUUCGUGCCAGCAGCCGCGGUAAGACGAGGGAUCCUAGCGUUGUUCGGAAUCAUUGGGCGUAAAGAGGGCGUAGGUUGCUUUGUAAGUCAGGUGUGAAAGCCCAGGGCUCAACCCUGGAAGUGCAUUUGAUACUGCAAAGCUUGAGUGCUAGAGAGGUUAUUAGAAUUCCUGGUGUAGUGGUGAAAUACGUAGAUAUCAGGAGGAAUACCGGAGGCGAAGGCGGAUAACUGGCUAGACACUGACACUCAAGCCCGAAAGUGUGGGGAUCAAACAGGAUUAGAAACCCUAGUAGUCC
rnacentral:rRNA from 1 species